UACGGAGGGGGCGAGCGUUGUCCGGAAUCACUGGGCUUAAAGGGCGCGUAGGCGGUUCGCUAAGUCAGGUGUGAAAGCCCCUUGCUCAACGAGGGGGGUGCGAUGGAUACUGGGGAGCUUGAAUCGGGAUGAGGCCCCCGGAAUGGGGGGUGUAGCGGUGAAAUGCAUAGAUAUGCCAAAGAAAACCGAAUGGGAAGGCAGGGGGCUGGGCCUGUAUUGACGCUGAGGCACGAAAGCGUGGGGAGCAAACAGG
rnacentral:rRNA from 1 species